UGGAUUAGGCAUGCAAGUCGAACGGAAACGAUGGGAGCUUGCUCCCAGGCGUCGAGUGGCGAAAGGGUGAGUAACGCGUGAGUAACUUACCCCAAGGUUGGGGAUAGCCCCGGGAAACUGGGAUUAAUACCGAAUGUGGCGGUCUGCUUUCGGGCGGAUUUGCUAAAGAUUUAUUGCCUUGGGAUUGGCUCGCGUCCGAUUAGCUUGUUGGUGGGGUAAUGGCCUACCAAGGCUUCAACCGGUAGGUGGUCUGAGAGGACGAUCACCCACACUGGGACUGAGACACUGCCCAGACUCCUACGGGAGGCUGCAGUCGAGAAUCUUCCGCAAUGCGGGAAACCGUGACGGAGCAAUGCCGCGUGAGGGAUGAAGGCCUUCGGGUCGUAAACCUCUGUCACCCGGGAUGAAUUAUGACAGUACCGGGAGAGGAAGCCACGGCUAACUACGUGCCAGCAGCCGCGGUAAUACGUAGGUGGCAAGCGUUAUUCGGAUUCAUUGGGCGUAAAGGGUCCGCAGGGGGUUUGGUAAGUUUGGUGUGAAAUGCCAGGGCUCAACCUUGGACAUGCAUUGAAAACUGCCAGACUAGAGUGCAGGAGAGGAGAGUGGAAUACCAGGUGUAGCGGUGGAAUGCGUAGAUAUCUGGUAGAACACCGAUGGCGAAGGCAGCUCUCUGGACUGCUACUGACCCUCAUGGACGAAAGCCGGGGGAGCGAACAGGAUUAGAUACCCUGGUAGUCCCGGCCGUAAACGUUGUACACUAGGUGUUGGGGGAUUUGACCCCCUCAGCGCCCCAGCUAACGCGAUAAGUGUACCGCCUGGGGAGUACGGCGGCAAC
rnacentral:rRNA from 1 species